UAGCCGACUCCUUGUCCACCCUCUUGACGACCCUGUUCCCGUUGGACUGAACUGCCCCGGUCUGGGCUGGUCCGUCACAGGUGGUGCCCGAACAGGGAUGCGGAGGGUGCAAGAAAGGAAAACAUUGGAAAAAUGAAUGUAAGUCUAAGUAUCAUAAAGAUGGGACACCCCUAGAUAGGAAGAAGAAAAGGAAAAAAAAU